rnacentral:tRNA from 1 species
GUCAGGAUGGCCGAGCGGUCUAAGGCGCCAGACUCAAGCGAAAGCUCGCUGGUUCAUAUCAGUACACUAGUAUUCUGGUCUUCGAUAGAAGGCGUGGGUUCAAAUCCCACUUCUGACA